rnacentral:misc_RNA from 1 species
UUUCCGUAGGUGAACCUGCGGAAGGAUCAUUAUUGUAUAACCGAGGUGCGAGGGCUGUCGCUGACCCGAAAGGUCGUGCACGCCCGAGUGCCCUCACACACAUCCAUCUCACCCCUAUGUGCACCACCGCGUGGGUCCCCCUUUGGCUUGUUCGGAGGGGGGCUUACGUUUUCACACAAACUUUGUAUGCAGUGUAGAAUGUAUUUUUGUUUUUGCGAUCACGCAAUCAAUACGACUUUCAACAACGGAUCUCUUGGCUCUC